GGUCUGAAUGCCUGUGUCUCUCCCUGCCCUCCCCCCAGAUUCAUAUGUUGAAGCCUAGUGCCCAAAGCGAUGGCUUUAGGAGGUGGGCCUUUGGGAGGGGAUUAGGUCAUGAGGGAGGAGCCUUCAUAAAAGAGGCCCCAGAGAGCUCCCUCUCUCCUUCCAGCCUGUGAAGACACAGCAAGAAGUGAGCUGUUGGUGAACCAGAAAGAGGGCUCCCACCAGGCAUCAAAUCUGCCGGUGCCUUGAUCUGAAUCUUUCCAGCCAGCCUUCAGAACUGAAACGUGCACCAGGCCUGACAGAACAAAGGCCAAGUGGCUUCUGGAGGUUCAGCGAUCCUUCUCAGCUUACCUGAGGAGCCGAAUGAAUGAGCUGUGCUCCAGGCCUGGCUUACAGAGAAGAGCCCAGCAUUAAGGACACGAGAGAGCCAUAUUUAUUUCACAUGGACAAGCAUGAUUCCUUCGCAUGCUGAACAUGAAAGCUCGCGU